GGUCUUGUGGUCUAGUGGUAUGAUUCUCGGUAAGCGCCUAGUUCCCACAAUUCAUCUUAAAACAAAAUCACUAACAAAAAGAUAGCUUAGGGUGUACCCUGAGUAUAAAUUUGCGAGAGGCCCCGCGUUCGAGUCGCGGCAAGACCC